GAGGAGGGGAAGCUGUUGCGCUAGAACAGGUAGGGAAACUGUGUUACUUAUCUUCAGGACAAACAAUUGUAUAAUGAAGUCACCUGUUCAUUUACUUGUGACUUAAAGUAGCCUAUGACAGUCAGAGUGACAUGCUAUAUGUGUAAAAUCUUACAUUGAAGGUCACUAUUGGUGGUUGUGAGGAGCUGUUAUUGUCAGGAAAUCAUCUUUUCCACUUCCAUUUGCACAUACAGCAUCACAAAAACAGCGGUCAUAGACAAGGCAAGAGACCCAUUUUUCAACUCAUUGGUCAUCCCAUUAGUUGAGCCAGUGGUGGUGUAGCUAUUGGGGGCUGGGCUCAGUAAGACAGACUCAACGGGCAUUUUUCUACAAGCGUUCAGCACAAAUUCAGCAGUCGGAACAGUGUGCUCGAGCGCUCACAUCAACAACACGCGACAUCGCGUUCGUUACAAAGAGGAAGAGACGGAGAUGUUACGCACGAAAACUUUUCCAGCUACAAACGAUACAUUAAAAUAACAGUUCAAGAGGACAGAACACCCACGCCAAACAGUUAUUUUAUAAAGAGUUUACCAAACGGUCAACCUCAUCCUGAAUUUAUGCAGCGAGGCUUUUCAUGUCCAUGAGCAGAGAGGGAGUAGAGCCCCAGCAGCGGCAGUGAGUCCAUGGGAUGCACGGCCGACCUGUUCCACCUACUUCUCUCAGGCCUCCAGAAGCUGAAUACAAGGUGCCAUUGAGAGGGUGCUCUCAGAUAGUCUUCUAGAAGUCACUGCAGCGCUUGGGCUAUUGCGGCUCUACGUGAACCACACUAAGACAUUAUAAGGAUGUUGUUAUACUAUAUGUUGUAGAAUGCAUUAUGCCCG
ensembl:lncRNA